rnacentral:rRNA from 1 species
GACGAACGCUGGCGGCGUGCCUAAUACAUGCAAGUUGAGCGCUGAAGGUUGGUACUUGUACCCACUGGAUGAGCAGCGAACGGGUGAGUAACGCGUGGGGAAUCUGCCUUUGAGCGGGGGACAACAUUUGGAAACGAAUGCUAAUACCGCAUAAAAACUUUAAACACAAGUUUUAAGUUUGAAAGAUGCAAUUGCAUCACUCAAAGAUGAUCCCGCGUUGUAUUAGCUAGUUGGUGAGGUAAAGGCUCACCAAGGCGAUGAUACAUAGCCGACCUGAGAGGGGGAUCGGCCACAUUGGGACUGAGACACGGCCCAAACGCCUACGGGAGGCAGCAGUAGGGAAUCUUCGGCAAUGGACGAAAGUCUGACCGAGCAACGCCGCGUGAGUGAAGAAGGGUUUCGGAUCGUAAAACUCUGUUGGUAGAGAAGAACGUUGGUGAGAGUGGAAAGCUCAUCAAGUGACGGUAACUACCCAGAAAGGGACGGCUAACUACGUG